rnacentral:lncRNA from 1 species
GGCCACAUGAGGUCCCCAUGUACCCAGCCAUGACUGAAAGUCAAUGGGCCUGAUCCUGUGCAGGUUUCCUGUGGGCAGUCACAGCUACUGAGGGUUCAACGGGCUGUCGGCUGUGCGAUGCACUGAGGACAGUGUUCCACAACACUAGCUGUCCUCCCGUUCACUUUCUGUUAUGGGAGACUAUAAAUGGAGAAGCCAACUCCUGGUUUCAGGAUACAGGACAAGGUAAAGAAGACGAGGAUAAUAAAAAGAUCCUGCAUGCCCCGGAUACCAUCACUCACCCUGGGAGCUUCCAGAAAAAGAGGGAGUGACUGGAGACACCAGGAGGGAGGUGGUCUUGGGGGCUGUGCUAGUUCUGAGACUGAGAACCAGGAGGGGAAGAAGAAGCACCCAGGACAGAGCAGGACGAUCUACUGGGGGUCAAGUCUUUCUGGAACGCAUUUUCAAGUAUUUGUUGCUGUUUUUAAAUAGACUGCUCCAAGCAGUAAGCCGUAAGUCCUAGUAUAAUAAGGACUCCGGAGCUGACAAAGGUUUGCUGUAAUUUCUGGCUUUCAAGCAUGAUCUCCUGGGUUAGGUUUGGGGACUAAAUUAAUUAAUUACCUUUCUUAUCUCUCCAACAAAAUACGUGACAAAGGCAACUUGAAGGAAGGCUUCAUGAUGGUUCGCCGUUCUGGGAUAUACUCCAUCAUGACAGCAGAUGCUUGAAGCAGACUGUCACAUUACAGCCACAGUGAAGAAGCAAAGAGGUGAGUGCUAACGCUCCUUGGCUCGGUGUGGGACCCCAGCCCACGGGAUGUGGGACCCCAGCCCACGGGAGGCACUGCUUACAUUCAGGGUGCAUCUUCCCAUCGGUUGUGGACUCGACUACAUGCAAUCAACUAAAACCCAAGCUGUUGGCAACUCCUGUGAGGAAUUUUCUUAAUGGAAUUGUUUGAAGCAGGAAGACCCACUUACGCCAUGGAAGAAGGAGGCUUUCCUUUUUGCCUGCUUACCCUCCGUCUCACUGGCAUGCUUGCCUAGGCUGCUCCAGCGGCCUAUAUUAAAUGAACUUCUUCAGGAUUCCAAGGUAGCUAAAGAAGGGCAGCUCCCCAAAGAAUCCCCUGGGACUCCAGCACCAAAUUGGGAAUGCUGAGACAUCUAGUCUCAUGGACUGGACAAUGACCAUGUUAUCAGCCUUUCAAUUUUGAGACAACCAUUGUCAUACUACAUGUACCCCAGCCUAAUAAAUCCCUCUUUAGUAUGUGUAAACACACAUACACACGCG